UGUUCUCACAUGGACUCCAACCAUGACCAAUGACAUGAAAAAUCAUCGUUGUAAUUCAACUACAAGAACCCUA
rnacentral:tRNA from 1 species